GGAGAGAUGGCUGAGUGGUUGAUAGCUCCGGUCUUGAAAACCGGUAUAGUUCUAGNAACUAUCGAGGGUUCGAAUCCCUCUCUCUCCU
rnacentral:tRNA from 1 species